GAGACGUUCAGCAGUCCUCAUUCGAAACAGAGCAAUUAGAAAAGAUUGUGAUGAAGUCACUUGCCCAGAGUCAAAAGCAACACUAGCCACUAGGUUUUCCCUCUUCAGAACCCGAUCCUGUGCUCAAUGAAGGCAAUGAAAAUAUUUCCAUUUUGUUCAAGGCCUCCUACUGCUUCCAGCCUGAGACAACGAUGACGCCAGCAAAGGCAGUAACAAAGCUCCAGCUCAGAAAAAGAGGAGGCCCAGUGGAAGAGAUUUUGUCGAGCUCCGUACUGGCAGAUCCUAUUGGAAGAUUGGUGUCUGUAACUGAGGGAAUCGGAUGACACUGCAAGCAAAGUUUGGCCAGUAUAUGUGCUUCUGAGCUGACUAGAUCAAAGCCACUAUUUGUGUUAGCUGGACAUAUAUCUACUUGAUUUUCCAGUGGUGCAAGGAUAAAGUCACAGCAAGGGCUGACAAAGAGCCUGCAAGCCUGUUCUGACAUCUUUUCU